rnacentral:rRNA from 1 species
UACGUAGGGUGCAAGCGUUGUCCGGAAUUAUUGGGCGUAAAGAGCGCGCAGGCGGUCUGACAAGUCAGAUGUGAAAGAAGCCGGCUUAACCGGCAAGGGUCAUUUGAAACUGUCAGACUAGAGUGCAGCAGAGGAUAGUGGAAUUCCCGGUGUAGUGGUGAAAUGGCGCAGAUAUCGGGAGGAACACCGGUGGCGAAGGCGGUUCUCUGGGCCUUACCUGACGCUGAGGAGCGAAAGCGUGGGGAGCGAACAGG